CGGCCAUGUCAGGCACAGUGC
rnacentral:miRNA from 1 species